GAUUCUGGUCAGGAUGAACGCUAGCUACAGGCUUAACACAUGCAAGUCAGGGGCAGCAUGAUUCUAGCUUGCUAGAAUCGAUGGCGACCGGCGCACGGGUGAGUAACGCGUAUCCAACCUUCCCUAUAGUAGAGGAUAGCCCGGCGAAAGUCGGAUUAAUACUCUAUGUUGUUCAAUGCGGACAUCUAAGUUGAACCAAAGGCUUGCCGCUAUAGGAUGGGGAUGCGUCUGAUUAGGUAGCAGGCGGGGUAACGGCCCACCUGGCCUACGAUCAGUAGGGGUUCUGAGAGGAAGGUCCCCCACAUUGGAACUGAGACACGGUCCAAACUCCUACGGGAGGCAGCAGUGAGGAAUAUUGGUCAAUGGGCGAGAGCCUGAACCAGCCAAGUAGCGUGCCAGGAUGACGGCCCUAUGGGUUGUAAACUGCUUUUAUGCGGGGAUAAAGUGUGGGACGUGUCCCAUAUUGUAGGUACCGCAUGAAUAAGGACCGGCUAAUUCCGUGCCAGCAGCCGC
rnacentral:rRNA from 1 species